rnacentral:rRNA from 1 species
CAGUCGCCGCGGUAAUACGUAGGGUGCAAGCGUUAAUCGGAAUUACUGGGCGUAAAGCGUGCGCAGGCGGUUUGUUAAGACAGAUGUGAAAUCCCCGGGCUCAACCUGGGAACUGCAUUUGUGACUGGCAAGCUAGAGUAUGGCAGAGGGGGGUGGAAUUCCGCGUGUAGCAGUGAAAUGCGUAGAUAUGCGGAGGAACACCGAUGGCGAAGGCAGCCCCCUGGGCCAAUACUGACGCUCAUGCACGAAAGCGUGGGGAGCAAACAGGAUUAGAUACCCGCGUAGUCCCUGUCUCUUAUAC